GAUGAACGCUGGCGGCGUGCCUAAUACAUGCAAGUCGAGCGAACAGAUGAGGAGCUUGCUCCUCUGACGUUAGCGGCGGACGGGUGAGUAACACGUGGAUAACCUACCUAUAAGACUGGGAUAACUUCGGCAAACCGGAGCUAAUACCGGAUAAUAUAUUGAACCGCAUGGUUCAAUAGUGAAAGACGGUUUUGCUGUCACUUAUAGAUGGAUCCGCGCCGCAUUAGCUAGUUGGUAAGGUAACGGCUUACCAAGGCAACGAUGCGUAGCCGACCUGAGAGGGUGAUCGGCCACACUGGAACUGAGACACGGCCCAGACUCCUACGGGAGGCAGCAGUAGGGAAUCUUCCGCAAUGGGCGAGUGCCUGACGGAGCAACGCCGCGUGAGUGAUGAAGGUCUUCGGAUCGUAAAACUCUGUUAUUAGGGAAGAACAAAAGUGUAAGUAACUGUGCACGUCUUGACGGUACCUAAUCAGAAAGCCACGGCUAACUCCGUG
rnacentral:rRNA from 1 species